rnacentral:rRNA from 1 species
UACGUAGGGUGCAAGCGUUGUCCGGAAUUACUGGGCGUAAAGAGCUCGUAGGUGGUUUGUCGCGUUGUUCGUGAAAACUCACAGCUUAACUGGGGGCGUGCGGGCGAUACGGGCAGACUGGAGUACUGCAGGGGAGACUGGAAUUCCUGGUGUAGCGGUGGAAUGCGCAGAUAUCAGGAGGAACACCGGUGGCGAAGGCGGGUCUCUGGGCAGUAACUGACGCUGAGGAGCGAAAGCGUGGGGAGCGAACAGG